AAGAAGUUCUGGACGGGGCCGGACCUUGGCAUCAGGCUGGGGAGUAUCGCCGCCCGCAGUGGGAAAUAGAAGCAGCCAAGGCAGAGAGGCGUUGGUACGAGGCCAGAGUGGACGCGCUGAAGGAGAUGCACGAGAGGCACCCCCAAGAAAAUUUUGGGGGGGGGCACACGGGUAGUUUGGCUAGGCGAAGGAAGAGCCGGAAGCCAGCUACCCGUGGUUAUAUGGAGGAGCGUAUGAGGUUGGGAGCGCCAUGUUUCGCUGAGAAGCGCAAUAUCUCACCCAUACGCACGCACAGUCCGGUGCGAGUUAUUCCAGCCCCUCGCAGGUGCCGUGCUAGAGCGGGCAUCCAGCCUGGUAGGAGGAUGCCUGCGCAGCGCAUCUGGUCGCCGGUACGCCUCCGAGGACCAGGCUACCCAACUCCCGCUCUACGCACGGCUACCAUCAAGCCCCUGCACAGCCCAGUCUGCCCUGUACGAGCACUCCGCUCGUGCAGGGCUACUAGUUCCAUCGAGCCAAGGCGGGUUGUGCAGGAGGUAAGAUCUAGACCGGCUGUGCGCCUCCAUAGCCCUGGGUUUCCAGCUCCUGUCUCUCGUGCGGACCCGGAAGUGCGUCCACCCAGUCCGACUCGUCCUGUUCCCGCUCCCCGCACUAAACGGCAAGUGCGUAAACCCAGCCUCGCCAGUCAACAGUCGUCGGAGCUGCCCGCCAGUCAACAGUCGUCGGAGCUGCCCGCCAGUCAACAGUCGUCGGAGCUGCCCGCCAGUCAACAGUCGUCGGAGCUGCCCGCCAGUCAACAGUCGUCGGAGCUGCCCGCCAGUCAACAGUCGUCGGAGCUGCCCGUCAGUCAACAGUCGUCGGAGCUGCCCGUCAGUCAACAGUCGUCGGAGCUGCCCGUCAGUCAACAGUCGUCGGAGCUGCCCGUCAGUCAACAGUCGUCGGAGUGGUCAGACUGCGCUGAACUGCCGGAGUGGUCAGACUGCGCUGAACUGCCGGAGUGGCCAGACUGCGCUGAACUGCCGGAGUGGCCAGACUGCGCUGAACUGCCGGAGUGGCCAGACUGCGCUGAACUGCCGGAGUGGCCAGACUGCGCUGAACUGCCGGAGUGGCCAGACUGCGCUGAACUGCCGGAGUGGCCAGACUGCCCUCGUCCUGUUCCCGCUCCCCGCACUAAACGGCAAGUGCGUAAACCCAGCCUCGCCAGUCAACAGUCGUCGGAGCUGCCCGCCAGUCAACAGUCGUCGGAGCUGCCCGCCAGUCAACAGUCGUCGGAGCUGCCCGCCAGUCAACAGUCGUCGGAGCUGCCCGCCAGUCAACAGUCGUCGGAGCUGCCCGCCAGUCAACAGUCGUCGGAGCUGCCCGUCAGUCAACAGUCGUCGGAGCUGCCCGUCAGUCAACAGUCGUCGGAGCUGCCCGUCAGUCAACAGUCGUCGGAGCUGCCCGUCAGUCAACAGUCGUCGGAGUGGUCAGACUGCGCUGAACUGCCGGAGUGGUCAGACUGCGCUGAACUGCCGGAGUGGCAGACUGCGCUGAACUGCCGGAGUGGCCAGACUGCGCUGAACUGCCGGAGUGGCCAGACUGCGCUGAACUGCCGGAGUGGCCAGACUGCGCUGAACUGCCGGAGUGGCCAGACUGCGCUGAACUGCCGGAGUGGCCAGACUGCGCUGAACUGCCGGAGUGGCCAGACUGCCCUGAACUGCCGGAGUGGCCAGACUGCCCUGAACUGCCGGAGUGGCCAGACUGCCCUGAACUGCCGGAGUGGCCAGACUGCCCUGAACUGCCGGAGUG
ensembl:lncRNA